rnacentral:rRNA from 1 species
AGGGUUUGAUCAUGGCUCAGGAUGAACGCUAGCGGCAGGCUUAACACAUGCAAGUCGAGGGGCAGCGGGGUGUAGCAAUACACUGCCGGCGACCGGCGCACGGGUGCGUAACGCGUAUGCAACCUACCCAUAACAGGGGCAUAACACUGAGAAAUUGGUACUAAUUCCCCAUAACAUUCGAAGAGGCAUCUCUUUGGGUUGAAAACUCCGGUGGUUAUGGAUGGGCAUGCGUUGUAUUAGCUAGUUGGUGGGG